CCAUUCCUACGGGAGGCAGCAGAGGGGAAUAUUGCACAAUGGGGGAAACCCUGAUGCAGCGACGCCGCGUGAGUGAAGAAGUAUUUCGGUAUGUAAAGCUCUAUCAGCAGGAACGAGACAAGACGGUACCUGACUAAGAAGCCCCGGCUAAAUACGUGCCAGCAGCCGCGGUAAUACGUAUGGGGCAAGCGUUAUCCGGAUUUACUGGGUGUAAAGGGAGCGCAGGCGGCCUGCCAAGUCUGGUGUGAAAACCCGGGGCCCAACCCCGGGCCUGCAUUGGAAACUGGCGGGCUGGAGUGUCGGAG
rnacentral:rRNA from 1 species